AGGAUAAUAGUUUAAAUUUAAAACAUUUGAUUUGCAUUCAAAAAACAUUAAAAUUAAUUUAUCUUA
rnacentral:tRNA from 1 species